rnacentral:misc_RNA from 1 species
GCCAUUUCUAGUUAAGAAUUAUAAUAAUAUCUCAGUGAUCAUCUAUUUUUGUGGUACAUCAACAUUCAGAAUUUUGAAGGGAUAAAAGAAAUGAUGCCAACUUGAAGCCUCAAACUUCAAAAUUACAUAAAUGCUUGAAUUGUUAUUGGAAUCACAGAAUGCCUACUAGGAAUAGCAGAAAAAUAAAAACUUCCCACUUGAUUUCUGAUUUCAUGCCCUGAGAAGCACGCAAAACAACAUUGUCAACAAUAGGACCGCAGAACACACCAUCCUUUGUCUGUGUAGUGGCAUAGCUGACAAAACUGAUGAGAGUUGUAGUUGAAUCUGCCUUGAAUGCCAGAGAGAGCUUCUUGGCUGAACCAGUCCCAUUACUCUGCAAUGUAAAAUUCUGAGCUGUGGAUCCUGCCUGAGCCCCAACUACAAAAUUCCCCUCACAUGAGUCAUUAGCGUCACCUAGAGUGAACUCCAAACUAUAUGUUGAACCAUCUUUGAGUGUAGUUGCUGCCUGUAUGCUAGCUGAAACUCCUGAGACAAACUCAACUGCAGCAUUGCCUUCAGGGACAAAGUAGUGUUUGGAGUCUAUGUAUUUGACUGUUCCUGUUAUAGACCAUUGUCUCAGUGGGGAGAGAACAGCAGUAGGUACUGGAUCAAGUAGAAUCCCUUCAGUGGAGUUGCUAAGGAAUUCUGGGCCAUAUUCAAAUCCUCCAUUCAACAAAAGGUUAUUAUCGCCUGGGACAAGUGUUUCAAUGGUUUUGAGAAGAAGCUUGUCAAUCAGUGGCCAACACGUGGAAUUAGCAUCAGAUUCUGUUGAUUGGCUUUCGAGGACAAGGUUAAUAGUCUCUUGCUGUUCCCAACUACCCAAGUAGAGACCAAAGGUCUCCCAUCCUUCCUUCCCAUAAUCCUGCUUAAAGGAGAAGAUCGAGUGGCUAUCUGGUGCUGAGACACCAACAUUGGCAUUAGUUGAACAAUUCUGUCCUCCUGGAGCAAGCGUGAAGGUGAGCAGGUAAUCUACAUAAUCAGCAAUAGGAUUGAAAGUUUGGUUAAUCUUGCCAUCUUGUCCCAGUUGUAAGGCAUGCCCAUUCCCUGGCAAUGCUAUUGUCUGAGUAGUUGUAACGUACAGGAUUGUCCCUUCAAAUGACCAUCCUGGAAUGGUGCUGUUUUCAUUCAAUUGCUGAAAUGGGGUGGUGGAAUUUUUUGGCAAGUUUGAUGGCGGAAUUUCAAAAUCUGAGUUCUGCAGAAGAUCUGCAAAUGCUGGUCCUAUGAGAAGGAGCGACACGAGAAAUAUUUGCCGAUGCAUUUUCUUGCUUGAGAAAGACGAAGAACAGGCACCGAGAUUCAUGCCCUAUAUGCGUUCAUGAGUUGACUUUGAAUUGCUGACGUCCAUACCAAUACAUUGACUUGCAAGCUGUAAUGCAUUGACUUGCAAGCUGUAAUUAAUGAAGUGGAUCCAAGAUUG